rnacentral:piRNA from 1 species
UAGCUCAGAUUGUGUUUGUACAGAAGUGU